GCUGAACAGCACGUGCAUGGCGGUGCAGUGGGCCCUCUCCUCGCUUGUCUGAUUGGUCAACAGUUCCAUGACCUGAAAUAUGGCGACUCAUUCUGGUUCGAAACAUCCCAUCCAAGAAAGGGCUUUACAUUAGGACAACUGUCUGAGAUCCGACGAAUGCGCUUUGCCAAAAUUCUUUGUAGGAAUUCAGGAGUGAAGUCCAUCCAAAGAGAUCCUUUUACAGUGUUCUCAAAAGAAAGCAAUCCUUUGAUACCCUGCAACGAUCUUCCAACAAUCGAUUUAACCAAAUGGCGGAGAUGAGAGGUUGCUUGGCCUACCCUUAAGUUCAACAAAUAAACCCCGAAGAUUUGAA